GCAAACAAAUAAAAAACUUGUACUGCCAUGUAGCGAUUUCGAUAAACGACGCCUUCAAGGGAGGAGGAGUCUACAACAUAUUGAAUUUAUCGAUCGAUUGUUAGGCCGAUUUCGAACAGCAUUGUAUAGUUAAUGAAUGACAACUUGACGAGAUCUCGACACGCACGUUGGAAGUGUACGCGUGUUUGCACCUCGAUGAGCGUUGCACAAUAACAAAGCUCCGUUGCUAGGUGAAGUCCUUGAGUGCCUCAAGAAGGAAUCGCCGAGCAUCGUCAUACAGCAGUAUUUUUUCCUUCGACAAUUAAUCUUGCAUCUCCAACCGUGGAAUGAGUUACAUGUGACUCGAGACAAACAAACAGUGCAAUUGCAACCAUAUAAUUAGUCAGCGAUAUAAAUUUGCCAUAUCUCCAUGCCAACCACAAGGAUUCUGCUUUUGCACACACCUUCAUUAUUAAUGUGUUUCUUCAGGUAUGGUCACUAUCAGCAGCUUUACACACAGUGUGCAUCGUGAAUACACCAAUCCAAGAGAAAACAUUCCAAUGGAAAAUAUUGAGAAUUUCUGCCCUUCUAUCCUGAACUACACAAUGCUGGUUUGUAUAAAUAGGCAUAAAAAAACCUAUCAACAGUAUUUUUAGUUUGCAGUUUGCUUUAACAUACAACUCUAUGGCAUGUUGAUAUUAGCUAAAUUUUUAUUAUUUAUAGUAUUAGACGGUACAAAAAAUUCUUCUCUCGGAAGUUUAUGACUUUGGACUUGCUUGAGAUGACCCUUGAGCCAAGAAGCUUUUCCUGCUUUGUGUGGACAGGAAUAUUAGAGGCAUUGAUGUCUGAAACCAACAAGUGUCUUGCAAAGAAAGUAAAAAGAAACAUUGAUGUUGGUCAUCCUCUGAGUGAUGCUGAAGCCUGGUAUCUUAUUGAUCAAUAAUUGGUUCUAUUCAUGGGGAAAAGAAUGUUGUGUGGGAGAAACAGGGGUCAUUCCGCUGAAAUUGAAUUAAUUCUGGCGCUCGACAUCACCGAUUUUUUUAAUUUUUUUACAGUGUAUUCAUUGUGUUGGUAUAAAAUUUUCUGUAAAGGGAAAAAUUUUUCCCGUUUAC